rnacentral:lncRNA from 1 species
AUUGCUGCAGGGGAACGCUGCUGCCAGAGCUCUGUCCUGGGAAUACACUGCUGAUCCAGGGAAUACACUGCUCCCCUUGGCCAAGGACAGGAGUGAGCAGGAUCAUCCAUGAAAUCCAUCCCAGCCAGGCCCUGCUCUGCUCCCUCUGGACGGGCUUGGGCCCGUGCUGAAGGCUCGGGGCGAGGGACAGAGGGACAGCCAGCAGCAGCUCCCGAGGACAGGACAGACGCUGCAGCUGGAGCUCGGGGCCAGCAGGGACCAGCAGGGACCAGCAGGGACCAGCAGCUCCCCUGGGCAGCGAUGGAACAUCUGGGCUGGGAGAGGCUCUUCCCUGAGCUCCAAAAGCAAAGCCAGCUCCACAUCUGCUCCUCCCCAGCCUGGCUGGGCUGCACAUCCCUGCAGGAGCUGAGCUCCUCCCACCUGCAACUGACGGGACUCAUGAGCAAUUUUCUGCUGGGCUUUGGGAAUUAUCCUUUUGGAUCCUGCCGAUGGAUGGAUGGAUGGAUGGUGAAGAGCUCUUGGGUCGAGCAGGAGCUCAGUGCUGUUCUCUGGCAAGGACCAAGCGCUUGCCUGGUUCCCAGUGGAUUUUUUUUGUCUUUAUUUCCUUCUGCUCUUUUUUUUUUUUUUUCUGCUGCUUUUUGGGGCUUUGGGUGUUUCCUGAGGAUGCUGGAGCUGCAGUGGAUCCUGUGGUGGGAGCUGGAGCCUUUGGAAGACCAGGAGCUGAGCUGGUGCUGGGCUUUCAGACUGGCAGAGGCUCAUCCUGUGCUGGGUGGCCUCAGGAGGGUCCUUCUGCCACAGCUGGAGCAUCCCAGUGGAUCCCAGUCCAGGUGGGACCAUGGAGCAGGAGCAGGAACGGGGGGAAGCCAAACCCCCCCAGCGAGGGGAAUGUCACAGUGAGGGGAGUGUCACCCUCAGAGACAAUUAAAUUGCAUUUAAUAAACCCCAUUUGCUCUGUGAGUGCUGGAUGUUG